AGUCAGACAUCCAAGGUCAGACACUAUGCAAAGCCAGAUACUUCAAGGGCUUUCCUUGGAAGGGAGGAUGAAAAGGGAAGGGUAGGAACAUCAGCUCAGGUGAGACAUAUGAAUUCAACGAAACAUCAGGGAUGGUUUGUCAUGUUUGCGAGCAGCACAGAAAACGGCAGUUUGCUCCAACUUCCCAGCACACCAAAGGGGGCAGCAGCGCGUCUGUAAAGUGCGUGGUCGACUUGGUGAUAAUUUCUGUUUGCAUUCACACUCACUGAUAAUCUCAACUGUUCGAGGCAAUUCAACAGAUAACAAUGCGGAAGUUUGGUCUAAAGCCACCUGAAAUCACUUCCACGAGCUCUUCCAGCUCUUCUGAUAAAGCUGCCUUUGAUAGUCUUCAUGAACCCCUCCCAUAUUUGCCCCUCAGAGUCCCUUGGCUUAGCAGCCCCAGCCUUUGAAGUCCAACCUAAGCACUCUUAGAUGAUGAGUGAGGGUCUGCCUUCCCCAGCACCAGCCACUUAGUCAGGCUUGUGGCUGGUCUAACAAACUGGAGCCUGGAAUUCUGAGAAAACGAAACCAAACAGUUGUACUCCGGGGUUAACACAGAGUAGCUUCUACCUGCUGAGUUGGUGAUCCUUUCUCUUGCUGUUGGAGAGCCCCAGUGAAAACUUCAGUGAAAUGAGAGGGCAUGGAGCCUGCCAGUCGCCCGCCCUGCACACACACACACGCAAACACAUUUAACUUUCCACUUGCAGUGACCUGCCCUCCAGUGUGACUUAUCAGCUGUUUGGCUUUUGUCACUAAAGGAAAACAAAUUGUGGAAUGUCCUGCUCUGUAUGCUUAUGAGAUGGCCGAGCCAAUUUAGGGGUUAUGAGGUGGUUUGCAAGUGAGGAGAAGAAUGAUCUUCAGUUUCUGACCUCCUGGCACGGUGGCGGGCGGUAUUUAUCAGGAGGUACAUGUGACUGGUUAAGACUCAGAGCCCCAGCCUGAAGGAAACAGCUGCUCGCGGCGUGCUCCGGCACUUGGCAGCUGGACAGGCAGAGUGCUGAUGUGAAAAAUACCACCACGACAAAACCACCCCAGUUCUCCAAAGUACUUACCAUUCAGUUUGAAUAAACCAGUUCUACAGACUACUUCUUCCGUGCAUUUCCCAAUGGUGCUAACUGCCCUUAAAAUUAUUUCAGAUUUGGAACUCUAUCUGUAUGGAAACAACAGAGUUUUCUUGAAGUACAACUAAGGACAGGUCACUACUAGGCACUAACGUCACUGACUUGCAUGAUUAUGGAGAUGGUCUAUCUGAUGCUGAAAAUGUCUCUGGUUUUUUGACAACGGCUAAAUAACCAUGGGAUCAAGUGGCCUUGGGAAAGCAGCAACAUUAGAUGAACUGCUGCACACUUGCAUUGAGAUGUUUGAUGACAAUGGAGAGCUGAAUAAUAGUUACUUGCCAAGAAUAGUUCUACUGAUGCACCGAUGGUAUUUAUCUUCCACUGAGUUGGCAGAAAAACUUCUCUGCAUGUAUCGAAAUGCCACUGGAGAAAGCUGCAAUGAAUUUCGAUUAAAGAUCUGCUACUUCAUGAGGUACUGGAUUCUGAAAUUUCCUGCAGAGUUUAAUUUGGAUCUUGGUUUGAUUCGUAUGACUGAGGAAUUCCGGGAAGUAGCUAGUCAACUAGGAUAUGAAAAACACGUCAGCCUCAUCGACAUAUCCAGCAUUCCUUCCUAUGACUGGAUGAGAAGAGUCACACAGAGGAAAAAAGUAUCCAAGAAGGGAAAAGCCUGUCUGCUGUUUGACCAUCUGGAGCCCAUUGAAUUGGCUGAGCACCUCACUUUUCUGGAGCAUAAAUCUUUUAGAAGGAUCUCAUUCACUGAUUACCAAAGCUAUGUCAUCCAUGGCUGCCUGGAGAAUAAUCCAACUUUGGAAAGAUCGAUAGCUUUAUUUAACGGAAUCUCUAAGUGGGUCCAAUUGAUGGUUCUUAGCAAACCAACCCCCCAGCAAAGGGCAGAAGUCAUCACAAAGUUUAUCAAUGUUGCAAAGAAGCUCCUUCAGCUCAAAAAUUUUAACACCCUGAUGGCAGUGGUGGGAGGCCUCAGUCAUAGUUCCAUUUCACGCCUCAAAGAGACGCAUUCUCAUCUUUCUUCAGAAGUUACAAAGAACUGGAAUGAAAUGACAGAGUUGGUCUCCUCCAACGGUAAUUACUGCAAUUACCGCAAGGCCUUUGCCGACUGUGAUGGCUUCAAAAUCCCCAUCCUUGGAGUACACUUGAAAGACUUGAUAGCAGUCCAUGUCAUUUUCCCAGACUGGACGGAGGAGAACAAAGUGAACAUUGUGAAAAUGCACCAGCUCUCCGUUACCCUGAGUGAACUAGUCUCCCUGCAGAAUGCCUCUCACCACCUAGAACCCAACAUGGAUUUGAUCAACCUGCUCACGCUUUCCCUUGACCUCUAUCACACUGAAGAUGAUAUUUACAAACUGUCACUGGUGCUGGAGCCUAGAAAUUCUAAAUCGCAGCCUACCUCCCCUACAACACCCAACAAGCCUGUGGUGCCCCUCGAGUGGGCAUUAGGGGUGAUGCCAAAGCCAGACCCCACGGUCAUCAACAAGCACAUAAGGAAAUUAGUUGAGUCUGUAUUUAGAAACUAUGAUCAUGACCAUGACGGGUACAUUUCCCAAGAGGACUUUGAAAGUAUAGCUGCCAAUUUUCCCUUCUUGGAUUCCUUCUGUGUGCUGGACAAAGAUCAGGAUGGCCUAAUUAGUAAAGAUGAAAUGAUGGCUUACUUCCUGAGAGCGAAAUCCCAACUACACUGUAAAAUGGGACCAGGGUUUAUCCAUAAUUUUCAGGAGAUGACCUAUCUCAAACCAACCUUCUGCGAACACUGUGCAGGAUUCCUCUGGGGCAUAAUCAAGCAAGGAUACAAAUGCAAAGACUGUGGAGCCAAUUGUCACAAACAGUGCAAAGACCUCCUGGUUCUGGCCUGCAGGAGAUUUGCCCGGGCGCCCUCUUUGAGCAGUGGUCAUGGGUCACUGCCUGGAAGCCCCUCGCUGCCCCCAGCACAGGAUGAGGUGUUUGAGUUCCCUGGAGUCACUGCUGGACACAGGGAUUUAGACAGCAGAGCCAUCACACUGGUUACAGGCUCUUCUCGCAAGAUCUCCGUGAGGCUACAGAGGGCCACCACCAGCCAGGCCACCCAGACUGAACCUGUCUGGUCAGAGGCUGGCUGGGGGGACUCAGGGUCCCACACCUUCCCUAAAAUGAAAUCCAAGUUCCAUGACAAAGCAGCAAAGGACAAAGGCUUUGCCAAAUGGGAAAAUGAGAAGCCCAGGGUGCAUGCUGGUGUGGAUGUUGUAGACCGGGGCACAGAGUUCGAACCUGACCAGGAUGAAGGAGAAGAGACCAGACAGGAUGGUGAGGAUGGCUGACUUCAGGCUGCGGAAACGGAAGGCAAUAAUGUUGGCUUUCGGAAGGGCAAGGACUUAACAUUUUCCUGAGGACAAGGAAGCUCUUCAGACACUGGAAUGCAGUGAUUCUUCUAAUGAUGGUCAACUGCAAGAGAAGCUAUUUACAUUGUUCCUACCAUACAGUUGCUAUGAUAUGUAACAAGUCACACAUGUAUAUAUCACACAAGUCUUACCAAUUCUGCAUCACUAGGAAGCUAUGGCAUGGUCGUGAAAACUCUCCUAAUACUUAUAAUAGCCAUGGAAGAAAAUUAUGCUUGUCCCUUCUGACUGGGUUAAGCCAUCUUUCUUAAGAUUCCUGAAGUAGAAAUAGCAAUUAAGAAAUAAAUUCAAGUUUUGAAGGUUAACAUUUAGCAGAAAAACAAACCAUUGAAUCAGCUACUAGGUGACAUGCAAAACAACCAUCAAUUUUUUAAAACUCAAGAAUUUCAUGAAAAAACAAACAAACAAAAAAAACUUUCGGUUGUAAAAGAAAACCCUUGUUCUCUUCCUAAGAAACAGCCUUCCACAAUUAAAGAAUAUUCAUAGAAAGAAAAUAAUCACAAAUCAUAUUUGAUUAACAUUUCAUUUAAGCUUUUAAAAUAUCAAUCUUUUAAGUAGCUCCCAUUUACCCAAAAUAACUAGUUAUGGUUCUAUUUCUUCCAUGAUUAGAGGAGAGAGAACUUGAUUCAAGAUACUGAAAAAUAGAGAUGGGACUGAGCCUGUGAAUGACAGGAAUGAUCUGUUACCAGGUGACUAGUCGGAAACUACCCCACAGAGGUGCACUGGUCUGCAUUUGGGGGCUAAAGUGUGUAUAUUCCAUUUAAAAUGGAAUUUGUUUGUAUUUGGGGCAGUCUACAGUGAAGCCUUUCUCCUUUCUUUUCUCCACUGAGGACAGUUCUGCUCAGCAAAAUUGUUGAGUACCUGUUCCGGCCAGGUCCCAUGCUAUAUGCACAAAGUUAAGAAAAACUUGGUCUUGGCCCUUGAGAGCUGACAGCCCAUGGGCAUUAAGGCAAAGUGGUUCCAGUGAUUUAAAAUAUGGUUCCAAAUAUGCUAAAACCAACUUGUGCCAACCAGAUUUACAGAUUGGAAAUACUGCAGAUGAAGUGAAGUUAUCAGUUGAGGGAGCUGUGAUUAAGCUGGAUAAUAAGAGAACACGCCACCUGUAAGCACUCAGAAGGCAGUCAUCCCUAGAUGUUGGUUUCAUGUAUAUUACACUAUCUACUACUACCCAUAAAUGCAAUAAUAUGCAUGUUAACAACAUUAAAAACAGAAAACAGCAAUCUAAGUACAGGAAAGCUUUUUUGUGUGUUUAAAACAAUGGAAGAAAAUUCAGGAAGAAACGUGUUAAUAAACAUUGUACUGUUCUUUUGCUUCUCAAAGGAA